AGUCACUGACAUUAGAUACCCCCGUAGUCCAGGGUGUAAACGCUGCAGACUUGGUGUUGGAAAUCCUUCGAGGGUAUUCAGUGCCGGAGAGAAGUUGUUAAGUCUGCUACUUGGGGAGUACGUCCGCAAGGAUGAAACUUAAAGGAAUUGGCGGGGGAGCACCGCAACGGGAGGAGCGUGCGGUUUAAUCGGAUUCAACACCGUAAACUCACCAGGGAAGACUGUUACAUGAAGGCCGAGAUGAAGACUCUGCUAGAUUUUCAG
rnacentral:rRNA from 1 species